ACGGCCCUCAAACAUAUUUAAAAUAAUCUAUUGCAGCACAGAAUCUGCUUUUUUUUAUAUGGAGUGGCUGUAUUGGCAGAGACUCUUAAAUCUAUCAAGGACUGAUGCCUGUCAUAAAAAGUGCCAUCUUAGAAUUUUUAAUAACCAGAAGUAGUUGGAAACUUUCUUCUAUUUUAUGUUGAAGAUGGCACCUCUAGUAGCUGAGAGCCCCUCAAUACUAGACUAAUGUAUUGGGUCAGUACUGACACCAGGGGAAAAUUUACACUGAGUGAGCAACACCACUUUCAGCAGCAUCUAGGUUAGUAUUGACCUGGCUUGACCCUGUUUAGUUUGUAAGUACUAAGGAGAUCACAGACCUAAGAGGUAUGGCUGCAAGCAAAUGAAAUUAAAUCUGAACAUAAGUUUGGGAUUUUUUGGCUUGUAGCAAUGAUACUUUAAGCAGCAGUAUUAAACGUCACUUGUCCUGUUUGAAUUCUGCUUUCUGGACCUGUCCUAAUAAGUAUUUCCCUCAGUAACCAUCUUUGCAUUAUUAAUAACUAACUCAAUUUGGCUUGCUAGAGUAAGAGUUUUCCUUAAUAUGUCUGACUAUGUUCAAGUAACAGUCUUUCAUGAAUUCAUGUAAGGUUUUCCCACUAAUUGGUUUCUAAGCGUGUCAUCAAUCAUCACUAAAUUCACAUGGUUAGGUGCUUGUUCCCUAAUGCAGAGACUAAGGCACAGCCGAAGAGAUGAAAGACCAAAGAAGUGGAGCAGAAAUAAAACUAAGCAUGAAGAUGAAUAUCAAUAGUUCACAGCACGAGGAGUGAGAAUGAAGAGAGAGACGUUUAUCUGUUGCAUUUAGAAAAAUUUAGACAGGUGAUUUACAGGAAUAGUGGAAGUUUGAGUUUGCUGGAGCUCCAUGACUGAGGAGCUGAAUAUUGUUGGGGACUUCACCACCCCCAAGACCUUUUUCUACGGAAUGUUCAAAGAUUGUAAACCACAGUCAUUUUACUAGAGUAUCAUAUAUUAAUUUCUCUUAGGGUAAAUGUAAAGUUGAUAAAUAUAUUAUGGUAGUGGUUUUCAAACUGGGGUACAUAUAUCCUUAAGGGUACGCAAACUCUGUAAUGGUGGACAGCGCAUUUUAUUUACUAAGAAUUGGCAAUCUAAUAAUAGGUAUAUUCUGACCCUAUCUCAGAUGGGGGUGCGUGGUAGACUACAUUAUUUGGAAAGGGGUAUAUAGCCUAAAAAGUUUGAAAACCACUGUAUUAAGUAACUGGUGCUUCUUUUUAAUGGAUGUGUUGUCAUGUUCUUACACGUUCCAGGGUAAGAAAAAUGAAAUAUAUAUUGAACAGCAAUGUAAAAAACAAAUGAUAUUUAGAACACCUUUAGUCAGUGAACUUCUUGUUCCUUGUUUAGAAUAGGAAUAGGAUCCUUUUGAGAUAUACUCAGAUCAGACCAUGUUGCAUUGAGAAAUUGUUACAGUAUUUUAGGAGAAGGGGCAACUUGUAUUCUGCAGCCAGGAAGAGACUAAAAUUAGAAAUUAGCAAAUUUGGUGUUAAGGUCACUUGACCUGGAAAAAGCUAUAGGAUAGCAUCUCUGCUUUUCCCUAGAUAGAAGUGAAAGCAGCCAACUCAUUCUGCCAUUGGAUAUUAUGGACUGACAUAAAUGUUGCCUUUGUGGGAGCUGAGUAUGGAGUAUUGUUUUAUGUAGGUGUUUUUUUCUUCUUUUUUUUUUUUAACUGUUAGGCUGCAAUUCUGCCUUCUGUAUAUCUUAGUGACACCUUCAGUAAAUUAUUCCUUUAGUUAAGGAUGAGGAGGGUAGUAAAUGUCUGGUUAGUUAAACUACUUUAUUAGGUGUGUCUGAUAUUUUAAUUAGGAUCUGUUCCGAUCCCAUGGCUCUUUGGUACUGACCAGAGAUGGGCCUAAGCCACACAACCUGAAUCUGGAUAGGAUUCAGAUUUCAACCCAGAGGUAAUGGGACGUUUAAAUUUGGUGUUCCUGUUGAGACCCAUCUCUACUACUGAUCUAGGAACUCAAGCAAUUCUCCUGAUCUCCAUGUUUGAGGAAGAGGAGAACAAGUUGAGCUCUCCAUUCCCUACAAAGAACAUUCAUAUAAUCAUUCAAAUCAGAAACUCUGAAGACUUCAGAAAAAUUAGUUCCAUCCGUACAUGUAUUUUACCGGUACUUUGAGUACAGCCUUACUUUCUCCUUCCUUGGGAAGAGACAAAAUUCCUUAUACUUAGUGUUUUGAUUUUUAAAGUAGAACAAAAGUCCAUUUCCCUAGUUGAUAUUGAUUCUGAAGCCCAAGGAUAAUGUGUUAGUGACUGCAUCUAGAAUGGCCAUUCAGAUCAGAGCAUUUUCAUCUUUGAUAGUGAAAGGGCAGAAUCAAUAAGAUCUGGGCUCUUUAUCAGCCGCCUCAAUCAGUGGUGUGAGGUAACUUGUGUUCUGCCAUCUACAUAGACUUUUUUCCUUUGUAAGGAGUAGUUGAGAAGGAUGUCCAUUCUCCCCAUUCCCAGCCCCCCAACCCACCUGCCUCCUGAAACUCAUUUUAAAUUUCUGUCAGUAAUCUCUCAGGAUUUAAAAUCUCUUUAGCAAGUCAGAGGUAUUUUGUUAGUUGCACCCUCCAAAGUCCUUGAUUCACAGGUCCUUUCCUUUCACACAAUCUCACAAGUGUUUUGUGGAUUGGAGUGUCAAGUUUAAUGUUGCUGCUUAGAAAAGUACAAUUGGAUUUGUCCAGAUGGACACACUCACAGGUCUCCUUUUAUACGCAGGAUUAAUUUUAUUAAAAUAUAAUCCUCCCAUUCUCACAUCAGUUCCUUCCGGCAUUCUCCUUUAAUCUUUUGCAAAGUAGCAUUAAAACAAUCACUGGCAUUGAUUAAGAAUUACAUUAAAAUGCAGACACACCUUUUUAGCUACAGCUGCUGAGAAAAAAUGAACCUGGGAUUUCCUUUUCUUAGAUUCAAUCUCCAAGCCAAUCAGAUAUGAUAAGAUGUGGCUACACUAGUCAUUUGAACAUUAUCAUUAAAGGGGAAUAUAGUCAUCUCUUAAUGUCCAAAGAAUUGCUUCUAUUCUGUAAGGAAGUCUCUGCCCUCCAGUCUUAAAACUAGUUGUUUGUUGUUCCAUAGUCUUGGUUUGGAGGACGAUCUACAGAGAUUUCUGAUUUGCCAAUUCAUAUAGGGUGAAAUUCACCCCCAUGAAACAGAAAAGCAAUGCACCACUUAAAUCUCACUCAAACUACAGCUCAAGUAGUGCCUAAGCUUUGGGCAGGCUCUUGGCAGAGGAGUGAGUUUCACCCACAUUCCUUUUAGCUUGUUGGGAUACUUCUUUCUUUUUCUACUGUUUAGGAAGUAUUUGAUACAUACCUAUUUGGGAUUUCUUUCUGACCAAGAUUUCGGUGACAAUGUUACUCUGUCUCUAUCUCUUCAUAUUUUUUUACAUUAUGAGUUGCAAGAAAAUUAGAAAUCUUUGUUCAUCUUAUAUUAGGUUUAAGUGUUUAGACAACUCUAUAUUACACUAUUCAUCUCAAAAUAGAGAUUCUCAAGUUUCCAAAAUAGUCAGGCAGUUAAAAGAAAUGCCCAUUCACUGCAAAAAAAAAAAAAAAUCUUUUGAGUUGGUCCUGACGUCUUGGAGAAUAUUUCAGAAUAAAUAGUUUCCCAUUACACCAUCAUGUGAAAGUCCACAUGUAGGUGGAAGAUGUGUGAAAGUUAAAUAUGUCCAUGUCCUAUUGCAGAAGGAAGACCAAAAGAUUUUGGCUGCUUUGUUUGUUACAACUGUCUUGUCAUUGCUAUUUGUUUGCUUGUAAGUUGUGAGGAUAUUAAAUAAACAGGCUGAGCUCAGUGUUGA